UUAAUAAUAUCUUAACCUCAAGUCUCCGUUGUAGUCGUUGAUAAUCUCGUAGCAUAGUUGUCAAUGGCUCAACAAUUAACGUAUACAUGCCCACAGUAACCGGACAAUAAUUGCAUGCGCUCAUUGGAAAUAUAUGCCGAUACACCAACGCUGCAAAUCAUACAGUUUUCCUCAUUACAUCCACAUUUGGUUUCAUAAGAAAGUUAGACGAGAUAUCAUUGCCGUAUAGUCAUAGAAGGAGGCAUAUGAGAAUGAUAAAAGGGAGGCAUCGACUUCACAGGACCUAUUCUACAGUUGCAAGGACGGUUUCAGAAAUUCCACCUUCAUCCACCACCAAGAGUCUACAAAAGGGCAAUCAAUACGUUCAGCUCAUUCGUGCAUGCAAAGACUUGAAGCUUCUGUUUCAAAUCCAUGGUUGUUUGAUCGUGUCAGGCCUCCAACACGAUCAUUCCAUUAUUGCCCAUAUAAUUAAUGCUUACCCUUUAUUUCGUCAAUGUGGUUUGGCUCGAAUAACAUUUGAUUAUGCGGCAAACCCAACUACGAUUCUGUGGAAUUCAAUUAUUAGAGCUUAUUCUAAGUCCAACCAAUUCCAAGAAGCAAUAAAAAUGUAUCAUAACAUGUUAGAAAGGGGUCUCGAACCAGACAAAUAUACAUUUACCUUUGUUUUGAGAGCUUGUACUGGUGCUCUAGACUUCCACGAGGGUGUUGCAGUUCACCAGGAAAUAGCUUCUAAGCAGUUAGAAUGUGAUGUCUUCAUUGGGACCGGUCUGGUUGAUAUGUACUGUAAAUUGGGUGACUUGGAUAGUGCAAGAAAGAUAUUUGAUAAAAUGCCCAAGAAGGAUAUUACAUCUUGGAAUGCAAUGAUUGCAGGCUUAUCGCAGAGCUCAAAUCUUUGUCAAGCACUGGAAAUAUUCCGGAGUAUGCAAAUGGAGGGGUUGGAGCCCGACUCAGUAAGCCUCUUGAACCUGGCCCCUGCUGUUUCUAAACUAGCGGAUGUCGAUGCUUGCAAGUCUAUUCAUGCUUAUGUGAUUAGGAGAUCUAUGUUUGGUUCUGUUUCUAACUCAUUGAUUGAUAUGUACUCUAAAUGUGGUGAAGUGAAUGUUUCUCGUCGGAUUUUUGAUCAGAUGCAGGUUCAGGAUGAUGUUUCAUGGGCAACAAUGAUGGCUGGAUAUGUGUACAACGGUUAUUUCCUUGAGGUUCUUCAAUUGCUAGAUAAAAUGAACCAAAAAAAUACUAAGAUGAAUAAAGUGGCAAUUGUUAGUGCUCUCUUGGCAGCUGCAGAGAUGAGAGACAUAGAAAAAGGAAAGGAGGUCCAUGACUAUGCUUUACACCAAGGGGUCAUUUCAGAUAUCACUGUUGCUACUCCUAUUGUGAGCAUGUAUGCAAAAUGCGGAGAGUUGAAGAAAGCUAAAACAGUGUUUCUGAGUCUACGUGGAAGAGAUUUAGUUGCUUGGUCUUCUUUUUUAUCAGCUGUUGUCCAAGCGGGGUACCCCACUGAAGCAUUGCGUAUAUUUCAAGCGAUGCAGCAUGAAGGAUUCAAACCAGAUCAUGUGACUCUGACAAGUGUUAUUUCUGCGUGUGCGGAAAUAUCAUAUCUCAGAUUUGGUAAGAGCUUACACUCUUUUGCUGUUAAAGCUGAUAUGGAUUCCGAUAUCUCAACAGUGACAACCCUUAUCUCAAUGUACGCUAGAUGUGAAUCAUUUACUUAUGCCAUGACUUUAUUCUACAAAAUGGAUUAUAAAGAUGUAGUGACAUGGAAUACUAUAAUUAAUGGAUUUACCAGACAUGGUGACCCAUGUGAUGCACUGCAAAUGUUCCGUAGAUUACAGUUAAGUGGGACUCAACCAAAUGGGGGAACAAUAGUAGGUUUGGUUUCAGCUUGCACUCUCAUAGUUGACCAAGAUCUAGGCAAAUGUUUCCACGGGAUAACCGAAAAGAGUGGAUUUGACUCUGACACUCAUGUUAAAGUUGCUCUAAUGGACAUGUAUGCCAAAUGUGGCAGCAUUUGCUCAGCUGAGACCUUGUUUUACUCAACCAAGCCUCUGCAGGAUGUGGUAUCUUGGAAUGUGAUGAUUGCAGGCUACCUGCAUAAUAGAUGUGUCAAUGAAGCAAUUUCCACUUUCAAUCACAUGAAGUUAGAAAAUGUCAAAACCAGUUUGGUCACUUUUGUCACCAUCCUUCCAGCUGUGUCAUCUUUUUCAAUGUUAAGAGAAGGCAUGGCUAUUCAUGCCUGCAUAAUCCGAAUGGGAUUUAUGUCCAAUAUUCUUGCCGGUAAUAGUCUAAUUGAUAUGUAUGCUAAAUGUGGGCAGCUCAUUUAUUCUGAGAAGUGUUUUCACGAGAUGGAAAACAAAGACAUUGUUUCAUGGAAUUCAAUGCUUUCAGGUUAUGCAAUGCAUGGGCAAGCUGACAGUGCUAUUGCUCUUUUUUCACUCAUGAAAGAGACAUGCGUCCAAGUUGACUCUGUUUCCUUCAUCAGUGUAUUAUCUGCAUGCAGACAUGCUGGAUUAAUUCAAGAAGCAAUGGACAUUUUCCAAACCAUGUGUGAGAAGCACCAUCUUGAACCAAAUAUGGAACACUAUGCUUGCAUGGUUGAUCUUUUGGGCCGAGCUGGUUUAUUUGAUGAAGUAUUGAGUUUAAUUAAAAAAAUGCCAACAGAACCUAAUGCAGAAGUGUGGGGUGCUCUUCUGGGAGCAUGUAAAAUGCAUUCCAAUGUGACAUUGGGAGAGGUUGCUCUCAGGCGCCUCCUUAGUCUUGAACCCAGAAACCCAGUUCAUUUUGUAGUUUUGUCAGAUAUAUAUGCUCAAUGCGGUAGGUGGACUGACGCAAGAAUGACAAGGUCAAAUAUGAUUGACUAUGGGCUACAGAAAAGUCCAGGAUGUAGUUGGUUUGAACUGCAUAAACUAGGUCCUUUCCUUUCUGACAAGUAAGGAGAACCACCCACAGUUUGAAGGACUGAGUGAGCAUGCAGACAUCACAGAACAGCUUAAUUAGAAAUGGAGAAAAUAGUCACGUGCUGGAGUUAUUUUGUGCUGUGUAAGAUGCCGAUGAAGAAGACAAGGAACCUUUUCUUUAGAAUCAAAGGAAAAGUUUUGCAAUAUAUUUUGCUCAAUAAGGCCCGUUCAAAGGAAAUAAAGAGGAUAACAAUGCUGCUUGAACCAGAAAGUUCCACUCUUUUUGCAAAAUGAUGUUGUUUCAUGAUUGACACGGUUGAGUUCCUCGGAAGAUAAAGGGCUUUGAAGACCAUUUUGCAGAUAACUUGAUUCUGGGAAGUCAAUCACCAAUGGCAGUUGAAGGAAAUGAAUACCAAGAAACCAGAGGCUGAAUAUUGGUCCGUUGUUGAAAUUGUAGAAUAUAAAUGUCUUGUGAGUCUUCUCCUUGAACUUUUAACGAUGAGAUUUAUUUUGAUUUAUGCUUCUUCAAGUUUUUAGUUAUACAGAUUCAUAUUUAUUUAGAAAUUGAAACUAUUUUCAUUCGAGUUUGAGUGACAAAGCUAAAACAGCACUCUGACAUUUAAAUUUUUAUUGGAACUGACCAAAUUAGACCCAUUGAAGACAAAAUAAACUUAAAAAAGAAGUAACAUGAAUCCUUUUAUUCAUCUUUAAAUUGAUUAGUUAAUUGUUGCUUGGCAAAUAAAAAUUUAGAUGUGUUGGAUUUCAAAAACUUGUUAAAGCUAGGACAAGCCUCAUAUUUCAAAAAGUAUUUAUAAAGAUACUUGUAAAUUAAAACAUUGUCUCUAACCCAAUUUAGGCUGAGAGAUAAGAGAAAAUGUUUACCAACGAGAUACUUAAAAACAAGUAAGAAAGAGGAUUGAAUAAAAGAACUCCCUACAAUUGGCAGUUUUAGAUGAGUUGAUAUCAACGGUAAGUCAUUAUUUUGAUGAAUUGUGUCUUCGGAGAGAAGAAGAUCAUGUGAAUUUGAUAGAGCCCCUCACUGUUUUACUAAGACAUAUCAAAGGAAGUCAAAGGGGAAGAAUGACUCUAGUAGAAUCAUGACGAUUGGUCCAGAGGCUUAUCCUUCAGUCUCUAGCCGUAAGGAACAGUAGCAUGUGAUCUUUUGCCAUAAGAUCUUUUGGGAGGUAUGGGCUAAGGGGAAAGCCAUGCUGUCCAUGCUGUGUGUUAUAUUUUAUCUUUUUGCUUGUAUUAAGGGGGUAUCUUUUGUAAGAGAAUGGAGAGGAGAGACUGGCCUCUUGAAUGCCAGAAGGAGUGAACCCUCUUGUGAGGUUUGAGUUUGUAAUAUUGUUACUUUUGUGAUCAUUCAAGGGAGAUAGGGUUUUGGCCAGAAUCAGAGGAAGACUUGUAACUCUGAUUCGCUUUCUCUUAAUUUAUUAAUAUCAAAACUUCAGCAUUUUCUCCUCAUUUAUUAUUAUUACUGUCUUUAUUGCUGUUUCUGUGGAGAUAUUGGUUUGGGUCUUAUUAGAAUUCUUACUAGAUUUUGUUGUGGAAAACCCAUUUUUUGAAGAAUAAGCUUACAGUAAAAUCAUCAAAACAGAAUUUCUCCCUUUUGGCAGGGUAGCAGAAAGAGUUUUACUUGCUGGUAACCAACCAACAGAGAUGUGACUUGUUUCUGUUUCUAAUUUUCAACGCGCAAUACAUACAAUAUUAACUUUUGUGCUUUAAGGCCUCCAGGAUUGAGCCCUGAGCUUUGAAGCAAAUUGAAAAAGCCACUUACAGACACUUUUAUGCUUAUUCAUUCUAACGUUU